rnacentral:tRNA from 1 species
CCUCGUCCUGGCGGGCGCCCUCGCGCUGUCGGCCUGCGGCGGCGACGACGGCACCGAGGGCGGUUCCACGGCGCCCGGCAAGGAC